rnacentral:rRNA from 1 species
GAGCGAGAAUCGCAGAAGGAAGCUUCGGUAGAAUUCUGUGAUGGAAAGCGGCGGACGGGUGAGUAACGCGUGGGAAACCUGCCCUUGACAGGGGGACAGCCGAGGGAAACUUCGAUUAAUACCCCAUAACGCAGAGAGACCGCAUGGUCAUUCUGCCAAAGAAUUAUCGGUCAGGGAUGGUCCCGCGUCUGAUUAGCUGGUUGGUGAGGCAGCGGCUCACCAAGGCGACGAUCAGUAGCCGGCCUGAGAGGGUGAACGGCCACAUUGGAACUGAGACACGGUCCAGACUCCUACGGGAGGCAGCAGCGGGGAAUAUUGCACAAUGGGCGCAAGCCUGAUGCAGCAACGCCGCGUGAAGGAGGAAGGCCUUCGGGUCGUAAACUUCUGUCCAAAGGGAAGAAGAAUGACGGUACCUUUGGAGGAAGCCCCGGCUAACUACGUGCCAGCAGCCGCGGUAACACGUAGGGGGCGAGCGUUAUCCGGAAUUACUGGGCGUAAAGAGUGCGUAGGUGGCUUUGCAAGCGUAGGGUAUAAGGCGACAGCCCAACUGUCGUUGGCCCCGCGAACUGUAAGGCUUGAGUACAGGAGGGGAAGGCGGAAUUCCUAGUGUAGCGGUGAAAUGCGUAGAUAUUAGGAGGAACACCAGUGGCGAAGGCGGCCUUCUGGACUGUAACUGACACUGAGGCACGAAAGCGUGGGUAGCAAACAGGAUUAGAUACCCUGGUAGUCCACGCCGUAAACGAU